GGUCCGGUGGCCUAGCGGUUACAGCAUCCGCCUCGGAUGCGGGAGGUCGCAGGUUCGACUACGGGUCGAGUCA